GUCUACGGCCAUGCCACCCUGAACACGCCCAGUCUCAUCUGAUCUCAGAAGCUAAGCGGGGUCGGGCCUGGUUAGCGCAUGGAUGGGGGGGAAGGCGUUUCUGUCAACA
rnacentral:rRNA from 1 species